UACGUAGGGUGCGAGCGUUGUCCGGAAUUACUGGGCUUAAAGGGUGCGUAGGCGGUGAAGUAAGUCGGGUGUGAAAUACCAUAGCUUAACUAUGGAACUGCACUCGAUACUACUUUGCUAGAGUAAGACAGAGGUGAGUGGAACUGAGGGUGGAGCGGUGAAAUGCGUUGAUAUCCUCAGGAACACCGGUGGCGAAGGCGACUCACUGGGUCUUUACUGACGCUGAUGCACGAAAGCUAGGGUAGCAAACGGG
rnacentral:rRNA from 1 species